UGGGUCUGGUUAGUGGAGGCAUCAGCAGGAGACUGGAUUGGAGAGGGGAUGGGGGGAUGGGGUAUUUAUUCUCCGGAAUGAGACCCCUCCUCCUCUUCUGGCAUGCUUCCCUAUCAGCUGCUCUCUGAGCCAAAGCUUCCUGAAAGAGGCGAUUCCUUUUCUCCGGAGCUAUCCAGGAGAAGCGUGGAAGAUCUAACGGCUAAGAGCUGAGUAACCUGGAACUCAGGGAGCAUGGUCAUGGGAGCGUCACUGGGCAAGUUAAAGGAGAAAACCACCAUCCACUCCCCUCAGGGGCUGCCCCCAAAGCCUGUGCUGUUGUGUCUGGUGAGGUUUCGUCUUGGAAAAUGGGACCGGGGGUAAGGAGACAAUUGUUUCUGCUACACAUUUGGCGCUCGGGAUCGAAAAAGAGGCCAACUAACAGACGUUUGGGAACGAGCAUCCUCAAAAUUGUGAGCAAAUUGAAGUUGCGAUCUGCGGAAAGGUAAAAGAGG